GACAGAGGUGCCGAGCGUUAGGCGGAAUCACUGGGCUUAAAGCGUGUGUAGGCGGAUCGUUAAGUACCUUGUGAAAUCCCACGGCUUAACCGUGGAACUGCUUGGUAUACUGGCGAUCUUGAGCCACCUAGGGGCAACCGGAACAAAUGGUGGAGCGGUGAAAAUGCGUAGAUAUCAUUUGGAACGCCAAUGGUGAAAACAGGUUGCUGGGGGUGUGCUGACGCUGAGACACGAAAGCCAGGGGAGCGAACGGGG
rnacentral:rRNA from 1 species